CGAACGACCUGUCGUCGUAGGCUCCCUUGAUCGGGACGUCGGAGAGGGUGCAAGGCCCGUGACGACGGCGGUUGGCCGCAACGCGCUCGCCGGGCUGUCGAGUCGGGUUGCUCGAGAGUGCAGCCCAAAGCGGGUGGUGAAUCCCACCUAAGGCUAAAUACGGCUACGAGACCGAUAGCGAACAAGUACCGCGAGGGAAAGUUGAAAAGAACUUUGAAGAGAGAGUUCAACAGGACGUGAAACCGUUCGGAAGCAAACCGAUGGAGCUGCCGUCUUGCGGUCGGCACUCAGUCGAAACGGGCCGCACUGGCGUGCUCCGCUGCCAGCAGCCGGUUAAUCGGCUCGCUGGCGCGCGGCCGCUCAGCAAUGUUCGGGCGCCGAACGAUGCAUUUGCCGACCAGUGGCGUCACGAGCGACGGGCGAUGGAGCAUCGGCCGGCCGGCGCGCUGUCGCAAAGCGAACAGCUCGCUCGCUGGUCGGCUCGGCGCGAAGAGGGUGCAUGGCGCGACCAUCGGUCGGCCAAGUCACUACCGGCGUGCCGUUGAGCCGCAGCUCCGUUCUGACGCUUGUCGCCUGUCGCCCAGCGAAACGCGCGAGAAUCACUUGCCGACUGGCAGUCGACUGCAAUGGCAACCAUUGGCCUGUCGACUGCGCUCCUUGCCGCCGAGGCGGUCGGCGGUCGCCGCGUACGUUCAACCAUUUUUGACCAGUCGCCCUUUAGGACCGGUUCACUCCGCGCUUCCUUCUGAGGUGGCUUGCGUGGUUGACGGCUGCGCUUAGGCGACGUCAGCCGCGCCUUGGACCAGUCGGCCACGGGUGAAUUCUGUGACGUCCGCGUCAGUCACCCAUCGGACCCGUCUUGAAACACGGACCAAGGAGUGCAGCUUGCGCGCAAGUCAUUGACACGAGCGACUACGGUCAACGGCGAAACGAGAGUGCUUUGUGCGUGGCUGCUGUGCCUGCACCACGCUGAUCCUGUCACCGCUGCUGCCGGCGGUGGUGACGGGCGCACAGCGGUGCCGCUGGAUCCGUCGCCGCUGUUCCUGACCACGCGUCCGGAGCAGCGAACGGUCGGACCAGCGGACUCGGAGCGCGCACGCUGCUACCCGAAAGAUGGUGAACUAUGCAUGAGCAGGACGAAGCCAGAGGAAACUCUGGUGGAAGUUCGUAGCGGUGUUGACGUGCAAAUCACUCGCCCGACUUGUGCAUAGGGGCGAAAGACUAAUCGAACCAUUUAGUAGCUGGUUCCUUCCGAAGUUUCCCUCAGGAUAGCUGGCGUUCGCAUGCAGUUUUAUCCGGUAAAGCGAAUGAUCAGAGGUAUUGGGGACGCAAUGUCCUCAUCCUAUUCUCAAACUUUGAAUGGGUAAGAAGGCCGAUUUGCCUUGAGAAAUCGUGCCCAGCCGGAAUGCGUCGAACGGCUAGUGGGCUAGUUUUGGUAAGCAGAACUGACGAUGUGGGAUGAACCGAACGUCAGGUUACGGUGCCCAAUGUUCGGUGCUCAUCAGACACCAUGAAAGGUGUUGGUCGAUAUAGACAGCAGGACGGUGGCCAUGGAAGUUGGAAUCCGCCAAGGAGUGUGUAACAACUCACCUGCCGAAUCGACUAGCCCUGAAAAUGGAUGGCGCUCGAGCGCCGAGCCUGUACCUGACCGCCUGGGCAACGUUGUUGUCGGUCUCGCGCGUGCACUUGCUGCGGACGCUUGAAGGCCAAGGCGUGUAGGAAGAGGUCGCGACGGUGCGCGUUGAAGGUGUCGAGCGAGAGCUCGCCUGGAGCCGCCGUCGGUGCAGAUCUUGGUGGCAGUAGCAAUUAUUCAAGUGAGAACCUUGAAGGCCGAAGUGGAGAAGGGUUCCAUGUGAACAGCAAUUGCACAUGGGUCAGUCGAUCCUGAGAACGAGGCGAAAGCCCAAGCGCAACGGUGUGACGUCGUUCCUGACUUGUUCGCCGUAGCUAGCAGCACGCCGUACCGUUCGAAAGGGAAUCCGGUUGAAAUUCCGGAACCGAGACACGAAGAUGUACACCCGCGUCUCCGGUGGUCGCUUCCGCGGCCGCGGCGCCUCGUCGCCGCUGUCCGCUCGGUUUGCCCGACUGGAAGCACGCGGGACUGGUGCGCGCGGUAACGCCUCCGAACUCGGCGAGCAGCCGUCGGCAGUUCCGGAAAGAGUUUUCUUUUCUUCAUAAGGCACGCAGUCGCUGGAACCGGGUUGUCCGGAGAUAGCGACGAUGUCGCCGCAAAACGCCGCGUCUCCCGUGGCGUUCGGAACGCUCUCGACGGUCCGUGAAAAGCCGAGCUACGCCGUAUAAAUUCGUGCUCGCUCGUACCCAUAUCCGCAGCAGGUCUCCAAGGUGAACAGCCUCUGGCCAAUUGAACAAUGCAGAUAAGGGAAGUCGGCAAAACGGAUCCGUACCUUCGGAACAAGGAUUGGCUCUAAGGGCUGAACCGGUCGGGCUGAUGCUUCGAAGCGUGUUUGGUGCGGUCGCUGACUGCCGGUCCGAGGAGCUGCGCUUGCCCGGCGUCGCGUUCUCGCCGGCUGGGCGCGAGCGUGCGCGUGGCUUGUCCGCGCCGCGCCGUUGCUGCCGGACGUCUGCUACGCGUAGUCGAGGCGCUUCUUCUGAAGCCGCAGUCGGUAACGAAGCCUGCGCGCGGACGACUUCAGCUGUGUGCGCUUGUCCUGCUCGCGACAAGCCACUUCGUCCGGCAUUGAACAGCCGACUUAGAACUGGCACGGACACGAGGAAUCGGACUGUAUAAUUAAAACAAAGCAUUGCGACGGCCGGUGAUCGGUGUUGACGCAAUGUGAUUUCUGCCCAGUGCUCUGAAUGUCAAAGUGAAGAAAUUCAACCAAGCGCGGGUAAACGGCGGGAGUAACUAUGACUCUCUUGUGGCCAGCAGGCCAACCAUGCUGAUCCGGAGACAAACUUACGAGAACUCGUCAUCGCCGCUUUAAGAGAUGCUUCCUGUCGCGAGGCUCCAGAGGGAACUCUCCUCAAGGAACUCUCUGUUUUAGCUGGAUUAGCCCUCGAAGGGCG
rfam:Trichuris trichiura, WGS project CBXK01000000 data, contig: TTRE_2610